GCACGGACUUGAUUGUAUUGAGCCUUGGUAUGGAAACCUGCUAAGUGGUAACUUCCAAAUUCAGAGAAACCCUGGAAUUAAAAAAGGGCAAUCCUGAGCCAAAUCCGUGUUUUGAGAAGGGAUCCUCGAACUAGAAUACAAAGGAAAAGGAUAGGUGCAGAGACUCAAUGGAAGCUGUUCUAACGAAUCGAGUUAAUUACGUUGUGUUGUUAGUGGAAUUCCUUCU
rnacentral:ncRNA from 1 species